rnacentral:rRNA from 1 species
AGAAUCAACGCUGGCGGCGUGCCUAACACAUGCAAGUCGCACGAGAAAGGGGAGCAAUCCCUGAGUACAGUGGCGCACGGGUGAGUAACACGUGAAUCAUCUACCUCCGAGUGGGGAAUAACUGAGAGAAAUCUUAGCUAAUACCGCAUAAUACCCACGGGUCAAAGCAGCAAUGCGCUUGGAGAGGAGUUCGCGGCAGAUUAGUUAGUUGGCGGGGUAAUGGCCCACCAAGACGAUGAUCUGUAUCCGGCCUGAGAGGGCGCACGGACACACUGGAACUGAAACACGGUCCAGACUCCUACGGGAGGCAGCAGUGGGGAAUUUUGCGCAAUGGGGGAAACCCUGACGCAGCAACGCCGCGUGGAGGAUGAAGCCCCUUGGGGUGUAAACUCCUUUCGAUCGGGAAGAUAAUGACGGUACCGAUAUAAGAAGCCCCGGCUAACUUCGCGCCAGCAGCCGC